rnacentral:rRNA from 1 species
UACGUAGGGUGCAAGCGUUAAUCGGAAUUACUGGGCGUAAAGCGUGCGCAGGCGGUUUUGUAAGUCUGUCGUGAAAUCCCCGGGCUCAACCUGGGAAUUGCGAUGGAGACUGCAAGGCUAGAAUCUGGCAGAGGGGGGUAGAAUUCCACGUGUAGCGGUGGAAUGCGUAGAGAUCGGGGAAGAACACCCCGUGGCGAAGGCGACCUACUGGGCUGCGACUGACGCUGGAGAUGCGAAAGUGUGGGGAGCAAACGGG